GACUCUCGGCAACGGAUAUCUCGGCUCUCGCAUCGAUGAAGAACGUAGCGAAAUGCGAUACUUGGUGUGAAUUGCAGAAUCCCGUGAACCAUCGAGUCUUUGAACGCAAGUUGCGCCCGAAACCAUUAGGUUGAGGGCACGUCUGCCUGGGUGUCA
rnacentral:rRNA from 1 species